UACGUAGGGGGCUAGCGUUGUCCGGAAUCAUUGGGCGUAAAGCGCGCGUAGGCGGCCCGGUAAGUCCGCUCUGAAAGUCCAGGGCUCAACCCUGGAAUGCGGGUGGAUACUGCCGGGCUAGAAUCCGGAAGAGGCGAGUGGAAUUCCUGGUGUAGCGGUGGAAUGCGCAGAUAUCAGGAGGAACACCAAUAGCGAAGGCAGCUCGCUGGGACGUUACUGACACUGAGGCGCGAAAGCGUGGGGAGCGAACAGG
rnacentral:rRNA from 1 species